GAAAGACAGAGCAGAAAAUGUCAAGAAAGAGGAGAAACCACCUAAAGAAGGAGAGAUCGCUAAGAAUACGCCAGUGGAGAACAGAGAGAGCACAGAGAAACCAGAACCCAUGGAGUUUGAGAUCAUCAGCGGGGAGGAGAGGCCCCUACUUGCUUUGGUAUAACGAAAGGCCCUUUCUGGCCAUAUGUUUCUCCUCAGUUCUGAACAUUCCAGCACAUAGUGGCAAGUUCCAUCACCACAUGCGGAGGAAAAUUGCUGAGAGCAAGAGACUGCUAUUGAAAGACAUAGAGACCUAUAAUAGUCAUGACCCUGCCAUGCCAACUGAUGUUAAUGAAGCGGAGCAGUCGCUAUAAGGAGACAACCCAUCCCCAACAUGGCCGUGGGAGGUUCAUGGUAGCGCACAAAUCGAAGACAAGUUAACCUUUUUUAACAAAACCAUGCUGAAAAUGAGACUGGAGGAGGAAAGGACAAUACUUGUUCAUAUGAUGGCCCAGCACUGCUCAUGGAUGCAGUAGUUGCAGGCAACUCUUAAAAG